GUCGAGCGAGCUUGCCUAGAUGAUUUUAGUGCUUGCACUAAAUGAAACUAGAUACAAGCGAGCGGCGGACGGGUGAGUAACACGUGGGUAACCUGCCCAAGAGACUGGGAUAACACCUGGAAACAGAUGCUAAUACCGGAUAACAACACUAGACGCAUGUCUAGAGUUUGAAAGAUGGUUCUGCUAUCACUCUUGGAUGGACCUGCGGUGCAUUAGCUAGUUGGUAAGGUAACGGCUUACCAAGGCAAUGAUGCAUAGCCGAGUUGAGAGACUGAUCGGCCACAUUGGGACUGAGACACGGCCCAAACUCCUACGGGAGGCAGCAGUAGGGAAUCUUCCACAAUGGACGAAAGUCUGAUGGAGCAACGCCGCGUGAGUGAAGAAGGGUUUCGGCUCGUAAAGCUCUGUUGGUAGUGAAGAAAGAUAGAGGUAGUAACUGGCCUUUAUUUGACGGUAAUUACUUAGAAAGUCACGGCUAACUACGUGCCAGCAGCCGCGGUAAUACGUAGGUGGCAAGCGUUGUCCGGAUUUAUUGGGCGUAAAGCGAGUGCAGGCGGUUCAAUAAGUCUGAUGUGAAAGCCUUCGGCUCAACCGGAGAAUUGCAUCAGAAACUGUUGAACUUGAGUGCAGAAGAGGAGAGUGGAACUCCAUGUGUAGCGGUGGAAUGCGUAGAUGUAUGGAAGAACACCAGUGGCGAAGGCGGCUCUCUGGUCUGCAACUGACGCUGAGGCUCGAAAGCAUGGGUAGCGAACAGGAUUAGAUACCCUGGUAGUCCAUG
rnacentral:rRNA from 1 species